rnacentral:lncRNA from 1 species
AGGGAGUUGACCAAGAUGGCGCCGAGGCAAGUCACGCUCUCCGGCGCUCACUUUUAUUUUUAAAAAACCUUAUCUUAAUUGCCCUCCGGAUGCCAAUUUUUAACAAACGGAAAACAUUUUAAAGACUCUGAACAUUUUUAUAACUCCUGUCGGCUCUGCGAGCUUCAGCUUGUCCCAGCCUGCUCCCUCCCUCCUUAUCAGCUGCCCGGUCAAGGUUGCCAGAGAGGAGAGAACGCUGCUGCCUGAACUGAGAGCAGAGAGACAGAAGAGGUCUAAAGACAGAACUGUGAACUGCUUAUCCGACCAACGGUGCCUGGAGAAGGAGGGUAAGGAGAGAUACGACUGUGAGCUUUGCUUUGAGAUUGGCCCAUAGACACCCAGCUCAGCUGAACACAGAGAAAGAUAAAGCUUGGAGAUUCAGGGUUAACUGAACUGACUGACCCCCGCCCAGCUGGGGGGCUGUGUGAACUAGCUGGGGACAACAUUCCUGCUUAGUUGAAGAGGAAGUGCUGUAGCUGGAAAGACUCUUCAUUUUAAUAAACUCUUUCGAGGAGACCAGCUUUUAUAUUCUCAGAGACUCCUGGUGAAGGCACCCUGAGUCUUUUACAGGAAUUUUUUAAUCUACACAAUAACUCCACAACAGUGUAUCGGAUAGGACCUUCUGGAGGUUUGGAAAACCGGCUUCAGCAAGAUAUCGUUCUGUGCCCUGCCUUAUGUGGUAGGCCUUUGAAAGACUACCUAGAAGGAAUCAGCGAACCAGCCCACAGAAAGUUUCCCUUCUGGGGCUCUUGGAUAUCCUUCGUUCAGUAUGGGGCGGUGGAAGAUGGCCUCUAAAGACUAAGCUAAGACCCGAAAUACAAGGUUAUCAUAGCUGUACAUGCGCUAUAGCCAAACUCCACUAUUAUCCUUUUCCAGCUGCACACAAAUUGCCUAAAUAAGGCAAUUUUAAUUUUAAUGUAGUUUUUAGCCGUUUUAUUACUGCUGUCUCUUUGGCAGCAUUGUUUUAUUAUUAUAUUCUGACUAGGUUGCAGCAUUUGUGAAACAGCGCUGGUCGCAUGAUUGAGGUGAAAACUACAGGCUUAGGACAAUUGCCAAGAUCUAAAAGCAGAGAACUCAAAAUAGAGAAAUAUAUUGAGGCUGUUGAUGAGCACAUCAGGAAGCUGUUGCAGAGAGCAGGUGGGAAUAUAGAUUGAUACCCCCACUUGCCCCCCAAUCUAAGGCAGUCGCACCUGGGGUAAACUGCCCUCUCUCUAUAUCGAGACCACUUUUACCAUGGUUUUUACUAGGAGAAAAUACAAGGAGUUGGGUAUACUGCCUGACUCGGCAAUCAGCCCCUCGGGCCCUGGUAAAAGACAAAGCAAAAUCACAAAUUACUUUCCUAAGAUGGAGGAGGGUAAGAGUCCACAAAAAGAGUUAAUUCUUGAUGAAGUAAUACCCCCCUCUCUUACUGUUCUUGAUUGGACAUCUAAUUUUAAAGAGAUAUACCAAGAUACUGGAAAUAUUAACUCCCCAUGCAGCCUAGCGCAAGAACUAGCUUUAGCCGAGGAACUUCAGGAGGGAAAUACCUCUAUUACUAAGGAACAGCUGCCCACGGAAGAAAUUACAUCAACCCAUCAAAACCAGAUACUUACUCCAAAAUACUCUCAAACAGAAUUGAGUGACGGUCGCCCUUUGGAUUAUUCCCUAGCAAUAAGUUCUGAUUUAGCCAACAUAAAAAUUAUCUAACAAUAACAAAUGGGCUACUGCUGACGUUAGUAGAAAAUUUCACAUCUCAAUUAAAAGAGUUAAAAUUAAAUGAUAUGCCACAAGAACAUAAAACAGUUGAGCUAGCGUCGAUGAACAAACCAGUAAUAAAUAAGAAUCUGCAAAGACAUAACUCAAGGGUAAAAGUGAAGAAAAGUAAAAAUAUUAAAACAACAAGGAUAGCCAAGCAUACCCGCAGUAAUCGAAACAUACAUUGGCAGAAAUUGUUUAAACUUCUUCCCCCAGCCCCAAAUAAAUCGACCACACGGGGCAGCAAAAGAAGGGUAAAAAGAGAGAAACAAAGGUAGUUACACAGCAACCGGCUAAGGAGGACUCGCUAAGGCUGACUCCAGUAGCAAAUGAGAAGGCAGAAGUAACAACUCAGUCCUUGGAUAACCAACUUUUUAAUAAACCUGAUGCUGCGGAAGUAGAGGCCUCUUUCUAUGAAGGCAAUAAAACACUUAGUAAACCGAACAGCGGGGAAGAGGAAGCGUUUAGUAGAGAUGAUACCCCCCUUCAGACCUGGCAAGCCUCCAGUCAGAAAAGAGAUUGGAAUUUGAUCCUAAAUCCCCAAAAACUGGUAUUCACGAACUUCCCGAAGCCUAAGGGCUUCCUUACAGGGAAACAGCGAAUAAUGAACUUUGUAUCUAGUCUAAAUGACAUACUGCCAGGAAUGGUUAAUGCUAAUGAUAUCACCUCGGUGGAAUAUUUACAUUAUGAUGGUCACUCAGUGAGAGCACUGACCACUUUUAGGGAUCAGAACCUGGCCAAGUAUAUUUUUAGGUCAAGACCUGCCUUUUUAAAAGCACGGACAAUAAUACUUAGGUUCUUUGAAAAUAAGGCUCCUUUGAGCCCCCUUUUGAAAACUAAGCAGGCAAAUCUUAGAAAGGGGAAACAACUCUCAAAAUCCUGGCCUGACAAACAGAACCCGCAAUGCCUUGCAAGUAAAGGUGAGGAUUUCUUUACUAUGGAAGAAAAUAUCCUAAUUGACCAAUUCUGGAUGUUCCCACCAUUAAUACAAACUGACAUCUUGGGAAGACUAGAUAAGCUAAGAGAUAAGCUGGCUGAGAGAGCUUCAGGCAACGAGGUUAUCAAGGGGGACCAAAAAAAGACCACAACACGUAACCUUCAGAUCAAAGCGGAGAUUAACUUUCCACCAAGAGAGAAUGUGCCACCCUUCAAGGAGAGUACUCCAUCACCCCCGAAAGAGAAAUAUCCCCAAGGUGACCCCACAAGACGUAUGGGACAAAAUGAGAUACCUAGAUGAAACAGAAUUGGGCCAAAAUCAGGCCAAAACAGACUAUCCACAGAAGGAAUUUAUGCAUAAUAAAGAGCUGGUGUUCACAAACGUGAGCACUUUGCAUCCACCUAUUGAAAUCAUAGAGCGGCUGGAUAGCCCGCCAUUCAAAGACGAUAGGCGUCCGAUACAUAAAGCGACAAACCCUAAAAGUACGUUAGCUAAUAAUUGACAAAGAUUUGAUUGUGAUAAAGCCAAUCUUAAAUUUUUAUCAUGGAACAUUGCUGGUUGGCUCAACAAGGCGACUGACCAAUCAUUUGUCAAUUUUAUUCAAGAUCAUGAUAUAGUCUUCUUGCAAGAGACAUGGCUAACAGGGGAUCUAGAUGUAAAUGGUUUUGCCUCAUUUUCGCUCGCAGGCUCACCAAGCAACAAAGGGGGACGAGUUAAGGGUGGGCUAGGCAUUUUAAUAUCCACAAGGCUGAGAGCAUCUUUCGUCGAGCUGGAGCCUCUGAGCAGUGUGGCCAUGGCAUUAUUGAUGAAAUGCAGAUAUUGCACACUUCUAUUGAUUAAUAUAUAUGCCCCUCCCCAAAGAGGCAAGCAGCUUAUCAAAAAUCUCUGGCAUAGGAUAGAAUCUUAUGUCGAUGAGCUAAUGAAUCAAACUCCUGCUGCGGCAGUGCUGCUGGCUGGGGAUUUAAAUGCCAGAAUUGGCCAAUCAGACGAAGCGUUAUAUGCUCAUUUUCACGACGUACCUCCCAUUUCUGAAGAAGCCCAUUCUAUUCCCCCAAGGCUCUCAAAAGACAAGGGCUGCAAUUACGCAGGCCUAUGCCUUCUACGUUUUCCAACAAUCUGGAUUUGACUGUAUUAAAUGGUCGUGUCGACAGAGAACCCAGUGGGGAAUUUACAUUUAUAUCCAACAUGGGAGCCUCCACUAUCGAUUACGUCCUGGUGUCAUCUAACCUUUUGAGCAGAGCACGGGAAUGUAAAGUGGUGGAGAGGGUUGACAGCGACCAUCUACCGUUCUGUUUAAUACUGGAUGUAAGAAAAGAUUUAUUUUGCUCUGAUAAACUUGUAGCCCCAUGCUUCGAAAACAUGGAGCUAAGAUACUCACGUAUUAAAUGGUCCAGCAAAUUGAGUGAUGAAAUAUCGGAAAGACUUCACUCAGAUAUUUUUCUUGCUAGAAAGGAGAACCUCGUUAAUUCCCCAACUCCUGAGGCCAGAUUAGACAUGUUCCGGGAACUGAUUUCGUCGCUACAACCUUAUCUGACCAACAAAAAACGCCACGGCAAUCUCUACACUUUAAUAAAUCCAAACCUUGGUUUGACCAAGAAUGCAUGGCUAUGAAACGCCUCCUGCUGGAUAAGUACAGGAACUAUAGAACAGCGAACUUACCUUCGCUUCCAUUAGACUGGUUUGAGUCAAAACGCAGUUAUAAAGCUUUGAUUAGCAAGAAAAAGCUCCAGGCACAAAGGGAGGAAUGGCAGUGCCUAGUGGAGGCCUCCCAAAGGAAAGAUUCUGCCACGUUUUGGAAAAUAAUUGCAAAAAGCUGGAGAGACUCCCGAUUGAAAUCGAAUACUCUAUACCCGCUGGAGCAUGGGAGGCCUAUUUCCUCUCAUUAUAUUCAUCAAAUCAACUGGCCCCAGCUCUGCUUCCUGCUUCAAGUGAAUUUGGUAAGGAAUGGCCCCCUGUAACCAUAGAAGAAAUUACUGGACUUAUUCAAGCUCUUAAAUCAGGGAAAGCCCGGGUGCUGACAAUAUCCCACCAGAAAUUCUUAAGGCAAAUGUCGAAUGGUGGGCCCCUGUGCUAGCCGCCUUGUUCACUAGUAUAAAUCAAGCGGCUAUUAUCCCCGAGGACUGGGGUUUAGCCAUCAUCAUUCCAAUAUUUAAGAAAGGAAACAGAACUGAGCCAGCUAACUAUAGACCAAUCAGUCUAUUAAGUAUUAUUAGCAAACUGUAUGCUGCUCAUUUAUGUGAUAAAUUAGUGGAGUGGAUGGAAAGAGAGCAUAUUCUAUCAGAAGCUCAAGCCGGUUUUAGAGCAAAGCGUUCAACUAUAGACCAGGCCCUUACCCUUCAACACCUGGCAGACAAAUAUUCUAGAAAAGGGGGGUCUUUAUAUGCAGCAUUCGUGGAUUUUAAAUCGGCGUUUGAUCUAAUACCAAGGGAUAGACUCUGGGAAAAGCUUGGCGCUACAAACAUAGAUAAACGCUUAUUACGCCUUAUCCGUGGUCUAUACGAAAACACCAGGGUGAGGGUAAGAUGCGAUCGGUCAGGCCAUCUAACUAAAGAAAUUCAAACGCACUAUGGGGUUAAACAAGGAUGUGUCCUCGCGCCAACGCUAUUUAAUUUCUAUAUCAACUCUCUAGCAGUAAAUAUGGCGAAAGAAAAUGCCCACCCUCCCAAACUGGCAGGUAUUCCCAUCCCGGUGCUUCUGUAUGCGGACGACGCAGUCCUACUCUCCUUUUCCUGCAUUGGCCUGAGGAAGCUUUUGAGAUCACUUGCUGACUAUUGUCAAGCGGAACAACUAUCAAUAAAUUACAGCAAAUCUAAAAUUAUGGUGUUUUCAAAAAAGAAGGAAACACAAAUGGAGAAUUAAUGGUCAACCUAUUGACCAGGUAGCAACUUUCAAAUACCUGGGAAUAACUUUUCAGGAAAGGGUCUCGUGGCAUCAACAGAUGAAAACGCCAUUGCCAACGCAGGAAGGGCUAAUAAAGCCCUUACAAGAUUUUUUCACGGGAAAGGGGGUAAAUACGUUCCGGCGGCCUCCCAGGUUUUUGCUGCAAAAAUACUCCCACAACUUACUUAUGGAUCCCAGGUUUGCAGUUUUAAAAAUUUUGCGCCUAUGGAGGCAUUUCAAACAAAAUUCUAUCGGUGUUUAUUGGGGAUCCCCCCCUGUGUAUCUAAUAUAGCUGUCCGCUUAGAAGUUGGACAACCACCCGUUAAUGCGCGGCUGUGGAUUCUAAAGAUACACUACUGGUUAAAACUUAUUUUUCCCCGGCCGGUUUGGCUCCUUUAACACUCUUAGACACCUUUCAUUCCACCUGGAAAGCUUCCCUGUUUGAAAAGAUAAGAAGCUUGGGAUUCUCCCCGCAGAUCUUGAUAGCGGCAGGAUAUGAGAGAGCCAGAAGUCAAGUGCUCCAACGCAUUAGGGACAUAGAGCUGCAAUGUCAUAUGGGCAAAAUGGAUAAACAUGCCAUAAUUAGAGACUUUGGGAGAGGGUUCUCACCCGCAAAUUAUUUGGCUGAUUUACAAAUACCUAAGUACAGACACUCCUUUACCCUGGCCAGAUUUAACGUUCUGCCCUCUGCCCUGCUGCUAGGCAGAUAUGAGGGCAAACCAUAUGAGUCACGUGUUUGCCCGUGUGGCUCAUCGGAAGUGGAAACAAGUCUGCAUGUAUUGCUGCACUGUAGUUACUAUGAGGAUCUACGCUUGACCUUUAUUGCCCCAGUUCUACAAAAGCUUAAAAAUGAACCAGAACUCCAACGUAUGAGAGCCUUGGUAGAAGAUAAGGUUUCUGAAAUUACGAUCAAUGUGGCCAAAUUUUGUGUAGCCGCUAUUAGGCGCAGGAAACAAGAGCUUUCCAAUGUCAUUACGCAGGCGAAGGCAAAUACUUAAUUUUUUAUUUAUGCUGUCUAAUUUUAAAUUGCAGUUAUGUAUUGAAAUUGUCCUUUGUUUUUUCCGGUGUUAUGCUUCGCUGACUAGCUGUACGAGUUAAUCUGGUCUGUGACCGUUUAAUAAAUUUGAUUUGAUUCUGAUCGGCAAGCCCUAGGCUCUGUGGUUUAACCCACAGCGCCACCCACAUCCAAGGGAUGUGAUAGUCCGACUCUAAUCUGCCUUGGUCAGACCACCCCUGGAAGACCAUGUCCAGUUCUGGGCACCACAAUUUAAGAAGGAUGUUGAUAAGCUGGAAGGUGGGCAGAGGAGGGCAACCAAGAUGACCAGAGGUCUGGAAACCAAGCCUGAUGAGGAACAGUUGAUGGAGCUGGGUAUGUUUGGACUGGAAAAGAGGAGACUGAGAGGAGAUAGGAGAGCCAUCUUCAACUAUCUCAAGGGCUGUCACAGGGAAGAGGGAACAAGAUUGUUUUCUCCUGCUCUGGAGGGUAGGACUCGAACCCAUGGCUCCAAGUUACGAGAAAGGAGAUUCCGACUCAGCAUCAGGAAGAACUUUCUGAUGACAAGAGUUGUCCAACAAUGGAAGAGACUCCCUCGAGAGGCAGGGGACUUCUCCUUCCUUGGAGGUUUUUAAGCAGAGGUUGGAUGGCCCUCUGUCAGGGAUGCUUUCGCGGAGAUUCCUGCAUUUCAGUGGGUUGGACUAGAGGACCUUUGGGUCCCUUCCAGCUCUUAAGAUUCUAUGAGGCUCGGGGGUAAGGUUGCCAGCUUUUCAUAACAGUGAAACUUUUCAGCGAACUUUUCUUAACAGUGGCUGGGUAGUUCUGUGGUGCUGGGAUCCGUGAGUUCCCAGGAUUAUUUGGGGGGGGGGUUCGGAGGGGAGAGUGAUAUAAAUGUCUGGGGCGGACAGAGAGGUGGAAGGAACGUCCGUCUCAAAUGCUGAGCAGGACUCUCAGAUCAACGCCUGAGGGCGCCAUUGGCUUGUCCUUUGGCUGAACUUCAUGAAUAACCAGUGACCAUCAUGCUCAGAUCUGCUACAGGAAGGAAGGAAUCAAGGGAGCUAAGAACCUUCGUUCUUGCUCAUAGUAGCACUGGUGGCAAGAGUUGGAAGGGACCUCGUGGGCUCAUCAAGUCCAACCCCACUGCAGCGCAGGAACCACAGCUACAUCUAACUUCAUGCACAAGUCUUUGGAGCAAAAACCCAAACUCUGUACACGGUCAAAUGACAUCAAGGUCGAGAACAGUGCCUGAAAAUUCUCCCACAGUGGCCGCAGUGCUGGAUUUACAUAUAAGCUAAACAAGCUAUAGCUUAGGGCCCCACUCUCUUGGGGGGCCCCCAAAAAAUUCAAAGAAAACAACAACCUGGAUGUACAUUUCCAAAAUAUAAGAUAAAAAACAAUUAAAAUAAAACCUACAUACAGCAACAGUGUUUUGUUUUGCCUUGUGUAGGCUCCUGUGAUGUAAGUAAUGGGCCCUGCCCGCUCCCUAAAAUUUCACUGAUUUGCUCAUUUCUAUCGAUAGGGUGCCUACAUUCUGCAUCGACUGGUUGCAUGGCAACAACAUGUGCAAAUGGCUUUAGAUACCUAGGUAAAGGGACCUCUGACCAUUAGGUCCAGUCGUGGCCGACUCUGGGGUUGUGGUGCUCAUCUCGCUUUACUGGCCGAGGGAGCCGGCAUACAGCUUCCGGGUCAUGUGGCCAGCAUGACGAAGCCGCUUCUGGCGAACCAGAGCAGCGCAUGGAAAUGCCGUUUACCUUCCCGCCGGAGCAGUACCUAUUUAUCUACUUGCACUUUGACAUGCUUUCGAACUGCUAGGUUGGCAGGAGCAGGGACCGAGCAACGGGAGCUCACUCCAUCACGGGGAUUCGAACCGCUGACCUUCUGUUCGGCAAGUCCUAGGCUCUGUGGUUUAACCCGCAGCGCCACCCACGUCCCUAAUAGAUACCUAUUAGGUCCAUAAAUUACCAUAUAGCAUAUAUUCAACACAAAAAAACAGUGACAAUUUGUUGUUGACAAAGGACAGCUGGACAUAUAAAGGGCCCCAUUACCUUCAGUAGCUUAGGGCCUCAUCAAACCUAAAUCCAGCCCUGCCAGUGGGUCAUAGAGCAAUAGCCGAUGAGGCCCUGUGGGAUUAAUCCUAAAGUGGGGCAACCCAGACAACUCCAGAGAUUGUCGGAUGGGGUCUGGACUGGCUGGGGCCCAGGAAACAGAUCAGACUGGGAGGAAUGGUGUGGAACUACAGGGAGGGCUGUAGCUCAGAGCAUUGGGUUUGAAUGCAAAAGAUCCCGGGUUCAAACAUAGAAUUGUAGAGUUGGAGAGGACCCCAGAGCCAUCUUGUUAAGUUCUGGGUGAACAUAUCAGACGACACAGCGAUUCUUCAAACAGCUCUUGUUUAUUCACAGGCCAGAACAGAACCGAACUGAAGGGUUCAGUCAGCUUGCUUAUAUAGAGCUCCACUAGAACGCAACAGUAACCAUUUUCUGUAACGAUCCAAUCACUGAACGUCACUUUCGAUCCCUUAUUUGCAUAUGUGGACCUGAACUAUCUACAGUAUCCUCCUGCUGGCCCAGGGUGAGAACUUCAGUACAUAACACAUCUAGUCCAGCCCCGUUAUGCAGGAAUAUGCAAGUGGCCCAUAGGGAGACUGAACCCACAAUUUUGGUGUUAUCAGCACCAUGUUCUAACCACCCGAGCUAACUGGCAGCCUCUCUAGUAAGGACUGGGAAAAGACCCUUCCCUGAAAUAUCAACAAGCUGCUUCUGCCUGUCAGUGUAGGCACUACUGAGCUAGAUGGACCUGACUGUGAAAAAUUAGGACAGCUUCCUCUUUAAAUCAACCCUUUAUUCAUAAACAUGUGGACUGGAACCCGACUUUGUUUUUAGGGAAAGGGUCAUAGCUCUGUGAUAGCGCACCUUGCCGAUAAGCGAGCAAGCUUCAAACCUACACAGGACUCUUUGCCGAAAAGUGAGCAAGCUUCAAGGUCCCACAAGGUCCCAGUUUUUCUUGGGGUGGUGGUGGUGGGGAAACCAGACUUCUGGUUCCCUCAGGGCCAAGUUCUAGCAUGUCUCUGAAUCCUGCACCCUCUUUUUUUUUGAGCUUGCACUUGGUGGGGAGCCCCCGCCCCCUGAACCAGCCAAUCCCUUGCUCCGCUGAACUACUGGGAUGAAAUCCAGGCAGGCCUUGCCAGGGACACCCCCUCGCUUUUCUCCUGGGGCACACAAUGCGUUUCAUGGAACACAUUUACAAUUCAGAUCAGUAGGCCAGUGCAGAGGGGGGUCCUGUCUGGAAGUGAGAGAGCCAAGCAGGGAAGCUCCUAAGCUGUAGGGGAGAGCGAGAGAGGAGGGCUGCGGACCGUCUCUCCUCUCCCGCAGCAGAACUGCAGAUUUAUUCCUCUUGCACUUCCUUGCUAGAGUCAUCGUCAAGAAACGGCUUUGUUGACAGAGCAGGAGGCUGAGCUCACUGAGCUUUGCAGAAAUAUUAAAACAAACCGUUUUGUUAAAUGAAUAGGGGGCUAUCAGGGGCCUGCCAGCCACAACACCCCUCUUCUCCCGCCCUCCCGUUGGAGGCAGCAAAUGCCUCUGAAUGCUAGUUUUGGGGAAUUGCAAGGGGGAGAGUGUUGCUCAUGUGCUGAGGUCCUGCUUGUGGACGUCUUCCCUUUGGGGCACCUGAGAGGCCACUGUGAGAACAGGUAAAGGUAAAGGGAGCCCUGACCAUUAGGUCCAGUCGCGACUGACUCUGGGGUUGCGCGCUCAUCUCGCUCUAUAGGCCGAGGGAGCCGGCGUUUGUCCGCAGACAGCUUCCGGGUCAUGUGGCCAGCAUGACUGAGCCGCUUCUGGUGAACCAGAGCAGCGCACAGAAACGCCAUUUACCUUCCCGCCGGAGUGGUACCUAUUUAUCUACUUGCACUUUGAGGUGCUUUUGAACUGCUAGGUUGGCAGAGCUGGGACCGAACAACGGGAGCUCACCCCGUCGCAGGGAUUCGAACCACCAACCUUCUGAUCAGCAAGUCCUAGGCUCUGUGGUUUAACCCACAGCACCACCCGCGUCCCACUGUGAGAACAGGAGGCUGGUAGAACUGCUAGAAAAUAUAUAUAUAUAUAUAUACACACACACACACACACACACACACACACACACACACACACACACACACACACACACACACACACACACACACACACCAAGGUCUGGACGCAGUGACUGCAAGCAGGCGGACUUGGGGAGAAGGGGAUGUUGGAAGCUGCCUUAUAUGAUCAUUGGCCUACCCAGCUUAAAAGGUGGGAGAGCUCAGACUCAGGGGUCAAAUGUGGCCCUCGAGGCCUCUGUCUGGCCCCUGGCGAGACUCUCUCCUCAGGCCACACCUCCUCCCUAGCCACGCCCUCUUGCUUUAGGCCACACCUCUCACUGGCCCUGCUCUGCACCUGCCUUGAAAGGGGGAGAGCCCCAGAUGCCAAGUGGAGAUCAAUGCAAUGAAUGAAAUGGAAAGAAACUGAGGAGCUUAAGUAAAAACGUGUUGUAAUCAAAAGCCACCAUGGAGUUCAUUAAAAACACAUGCAGUCAGUGAACUCCUGAACCACCAGCAGCCAGAAUAAUAUAAGGACAUCAGAAGAGGUUGCUGGACGAGGCCAAAGGAUCAUCCUGUUCUCACAGUGGGCAACCAGAGUCCCAAAAGGGAAGCCCACAAGCAGGUUCCGAGGGCAAGAGUAUUCUCCAAUUGUUGUUCCCCAUUGUCUGGUGUUCAGAGGUAGACUGCUCUCACGUGUGGAGGUUCUGCUAUCACAAUAGACAAGCCUGGGCGCAGCCAGUCGAAGGGGGUCCAUCUAAUUCAACAUCCUGCACUCCCAGUGGCCGAUCAGAUGCCCCCAUGGGAAACCCAGAAGCAGGACCCAACACACUGCCCGCCUAACCACCUCCCACUCCCUCACCUGUGAUUCCUGCAUUACAGCGGGUUGGACUAGAUGACCCCUGGGGUCCCUUCCAACUCGACAGUUCUAGGACCUCUCUCCCUCGGUGGUUCCUGGCAUGGACUCCUGCGCCAGCCUCCCUGUGCUGCCAGGGUCAGGCCUGAGCCUGCGCCUUCCCAGGGAAGACAAAAAAGGCAGGAUGAGAAGGCACCGAGACUGGGCUCCCACCUCAAUGCGGGGUCUGUUCCCUGGGCAGAGUGAAUGGGCACUUCUUGAAUGGGUGAAUCACGCUGCCUCUCCCCUGGCAGAGGGGCACGGCCAGGCUAGCCUUGCAGCUCAGGGCUCAGCCAAGGCCGCUGGGGCGAAAGGGAUCCUCUCCAUCUUGAACACAGCUGUGGGUCACCCCACCCCACAGCUCCUCCAGGAUCUUACCAGUGUCUCCAGUAGAGAUUCAGAGAUUCUGGGUUGCAGCAAAUUUAUCAUUAUUUAUCAUAAUUUAUUGCAUUUUUAUCCCUACUUUUUCUCCAGGUUCCUCAAGGUGGCAUAUCCCUUAUGCCUGCCAGAAGCCACCAAGCAGGAUUCGAACACAAGAGCAACUCUCUCCUCCCGCAGUUUCUAGCAACUGGUAUUGAGAAAUAUUGCUGGCUCCAACUGUGGAGGCAGAGCCCAGCCAUUGUAGAUUAUUAUUAUUAUUAUUAUUUUAUUUGUACACCCAUCUGACUGGGUUCCCCAGCCACUCUGGGUGGCUUCCAACAAAUAUAAAAGCAUGAUAAAACAUCAAACAUCAAAAACUUCCCUAUACAAGUCUGCCUUCAGAUGUCUUCCGAAAGUUGCAUAGUUAUUUAUCCCAUUGACUAUAAACCAUCAAUAUCCCUCUUCUCUUCCAUGAAUUUGUCUGAUCCUUUUUAAAAGCCAUCCUAGUUGGUGGCAGGGAGUUCCGUAGUUUAACUCUGUGCUGUGUGAAGAAGGACUUUAUCUGUCCUGAACCUUCCAAGUUCGGCUUCAUUGGGGGGUCACGAGUCCUAGUGUGAUGAGAGUAGGGAGAACAGCAAAGACAUGACAUCUUUCUGCAGGGCCUGCAAGACAGAGCUGUUCCGCCUGGCCUUUGGCUUGGAUUCAGUCUGACCCUUCUGUUUCCCUCCCUUUACGGUUUUGAUUUAUGGGCUACUUUUAAAAUGAAGCUGCAUUUUAAAUUGGGUUCCCCCCCUCUAUUAUUUUCUUUAUUGUAAUUUUACUGGUGUUAGUCGCCCUGAGCCCGGCUCUGGCUGGGGUAAAGGUAAAGGGACCCCUGACCAUUAGGUCCAGUCAUGUGAUAAGGGAAAGCAGCGGAGAAAUGCUGCCAGCCAGUGUUGGCAGCAUGGAGCUAGUUGGAGCAAUGCUUUGGCUCAGGAGAAGGCAGUGCCCCAUGCCCCAGAGGAAACCCACCAGCUGGUUUCCUCGUUUAGGAUGUGGGGCAAAUCCUGCUUCAGCAAGGCUGAAGUCAUCCAAAGUCUUGUGUCUAGAUUAAGGGAAGUGAUAAAGGUAAAGUUAAAGGGACCCCUGACCAUUAGGUCCAGUCGUGGCCGACUCUGGGGUUGCGGUGCUCAUCUCGCUUUACUGGCCGAGGGAGCCGGCGUACAGCUUCCGGGUCAUGUGGCCAGCAGGACUAAGCCGCUUCUGGCAAACCAGAGCAGCGCACAGAAAUGCCGUUUACCUUCCCACUGGAGUGGUACCUAUUUAUCUACUUGCACUUUGAUGUGCUUUUAAACUGCUAGGUUGGCAGGAGCAGGGACUGAGCAAUGGGAGCUCACCCCGUCGCGGGGAUUCGAACCGCUGACCUUCUGAUUGGCAAGUCCUAGGCUCUGUGGUUUAACCCACAGCGCCACCCACGUCCCUCUGGCUGGGGAGGAAUUUUAUUUAUUUAUUUAUUUAUUUAUAUUACUAUUAUUGUUAUUAUUUUCCUUCCCCAAUGCUGCAACUUUUCUUCCUCCUCCCCUCUGUAGGGGAACUGCACCUUUUGGGGCCUGAUGUGCGCUAUGAUCAGCUGCGGUCCCUGCAUUGCAGCAGGUUGGGAUGGAUGACCCUCGGGUCCCUUCCAGCUCUACAACUCCAGGAUUCAAAGCAGCCCUAGGUUUUUGUCCAGCCCAAGACACAGGUGGGUUGCAUAACUUCCCCCAGGAUCCGCACACAAACCCCCCCACACAGAGGGCUUUCUUAGAACACUUCUGGAGAAACCAGCUCAGCCCCAGAGCCGGCUUGCAGGGGUCCCUCCAGUCCACCAGGGCAGGCGGGGGUCACCUCGUUGACCCGGGAUGGCGGGCACAGCUUUCUGGACAAAGAGCUCUGUCCCGAAGGGGCCUGAAAGGAAGGAAUCCCAAAGGAGGCCGCGUCCUACGGGCCCUCCGAGAUCACCCCAUCUCAGUUGCCACAGCGACCGGCCUCAGCCCACCCUCUUGGAAGCCAGUCAUGAAUUCAAGAAGGGGGGGCUGCCGAGGUAACUCUCGGUCAGUCCCAGGAGCAGCAGGAGGGAAGGAAGCUGCUGAAGAGCUAACCCUUUCGUCCUCAGGCUGCUCCAGGGGGAGAAAGCUUUUGGCCUAGACCUGCACCCAUGUUGUUGUUUAGUCGUUUAGUCGUGUCCACCUCUUCGUGACCCCCUGGACCAGAGCACGCCAGGCCCUCCUGUCUUCCACUGCCUCCCUCAGGCUGGCAGCUUCGAGAACACUGUCCCACCACCUCGACCUCUUUCAUCCCCUUCUCCUUGUGCCCUCCAUCUUUCCCAACAUCAGGGUCUUUUCCAGGGAGUCUUCUCUUCUCCUGAGGUGGCCAAAGUCUUGGAGCCUCAGCUUCAGAAUCUGUCCUUCCAGUGAGCACUCAGGGCUGAUUUCCUUCAGAAUGGAGAGGUUUGGUCAUCUUGCACCCAUAGGUGCACCCAUAGGGCACCCAAAAGGCUCCCCUGGAUGCAUCAUGGAUGCCCUUGAAGCUGACCCAGAAACUCCAGCGGGUGCAGAAUGCCGUGGCAAGACUCCUUACAGGGUCCUUGCCACGGGAUCACAUUCACCCGGUGCUAUACCAGCUGCACUGGCUCCCGGUGGAGUACAGGAUCAGGUUCAAGGUGCUGGUUUUGACCUUUAAAGCCCUAUACGGCCCAGGACCCUUGUACCUACGGGACCCCCUUGCCUGGUAUGUCCCAUGUAGGACCGUACAAAUAAAAACAUCUUGGAGGCCCUGGGCCACAGGGAGGUUAGGCUGAACUCAACCAGAGCCAGGGCCUUUUCAGUACUGGCCCCGACUUGGUGGAACGCUCUGUCCCAAGAGACUAGGGCCCUGCGGGACCUGACAUCUUUCCGCAGGGCCUGCAAGACAGAGCUGUUCCUGGCCUUUGGCCAGGGCACAGUCUGACCCCCUCCUUUGGGAAUCCUCACAGAACUCUAGCCCAAUGGUUGCCAUUAAUUUGAUUCUGAAUUGAUUUUCGAAUAUAUUGGUUUUAGAAUGCUGUGUUACUUUGUUGUUGUUAGCCUCUCUGACCCCGGCUUCGGCUGGGGAGGGUGGGAUAUAAAUAAAAAUGUAUUAUUAUUAUUAUUAUGGCUCUUUCAGAGUGUGAAGAAAGGAACUCUGUGGAAGGUGGGGUGGAGACUUCCAUGGUGCCAAGUCCAAACAUCUUCCCAACAGCCUCUGAAAUGCUAAUUCACCCAGUGUUUUAUCAUCUGACAGUUCUCGAUUUCCACAUUGGACAAAUGUGUCAUCUCUGCAUCUGAUCGUUGACCUGCAAUGGUGCUUUGACAACAUUUAUUAUUAUUAUUAUUAUUAUUAUUAUUAUUAUUAUUAUUAUUAUUUAUUAUUUAUACCCCAC